rnacentral:tRNA from 1 species
UACUUUAUUAGUAUAUAAUAAGUACAUUUAAUUUCCAAUUAAAAAGUUUUAAAAAAAUAAAGUAA